rnacentral:lncRNA from 1 species
UUUCAAUUCUGUUGACAAGAUUUGCAAGGUUCAAAGGGAGCCACCAAGAUUUUUUUAUUUAGUAUUUGGAUUGACCUUGGUAAUGAAACAUGUUGCAGAUGUACUUUCCUUUUUGAAGGAUUAAGCCAUGACACAAUUCAAUUAUUGGAUGUGUAGUUUAACUCUUACUUAGGAGUGAUACAAUGGUUUAAGCUCAUACUUAGGAGUCUUAUUUAUUGGAUGAGCAAUUUAAGCUCGUGCUUAGUAGUAUCUGUUGUAGGUCAAUUUUGGGCCCGUUUAUAAUCAAACUCGAAUGGCCCAAUAACCCUAUCCAACCCAUUACAAUUAAACCCAAUAAAACCCAACCAAACAAAUACAAAUAGCCAAGCCCACUAAACUUUAACCAUAAAACCCAAAACAAAACAACCCAUCAGCCCAAUAACAUCAACAAUAACCCAAACCCUAAACCCAAUUCCCAACAGCCCAAACACUAAAACCCUAAAUCUAACCCUAGCCCCUUAGCUUGUUGGCGCCGCAACCACCCUCUGACUGUCUGCCACCUACCCACUGCAACACCAUCCCCUGGUGCCACCUGUCCCAUAGUCACCUCCACUGCUCUCUGCACCUGCAAGGAAUUAAAAAGAAAGGACAACAAACAUAAAAUAAUAAAAGGCAAAGCAUUUGUAAAAGGCUAUAAAAGCCAUCAAAAGACGGUGUAAUGAAAGAGGAAUUUUGGAUGAAUGAAAACAACAGAUUCGGCCAUUUUAAGCAAUAGAUCUCAAAUAUCAAAGACAAAUCUAAACACCAAAGCAGUGAAUAUAAGAAUAUAAGAACCAGAAUCGGAGAAAUAGGAUGUGACGUUCUGUCUUUUAAGUUUUAAGUUUUUUUUUCUUUUUUUACACAAGCAAAUAUAGACAUAUAUAUAAACCACAAAAAAAGGAGGAAAAAUUACCUUUUUAAGGUUCUGGCCACCGUGGACGGUGGCCGGCGGCGACAGAGUUACGACGGCGCUCGGUGGCCCUCCUGGCCAGCUUCUGGGUUUCCCCAGAGAGAAAAAACUCCCCUCCCCUUUUGUUUUUUUUUU